rnacentral:lncRNA from 1 species
GAAAUCUCAUUCAAUGAGGAACACGGAUCGAGCAUUAUCUAGGCCUAAUUCCUAAUGAAUCAAGAGAAUCGAGCAAAAACAUUUUAUGCAUUCAAACAUUCAACUCAGCAUAACUCAUUCAAUUCUCAACCAUGCAUUAUCUAGGCCUAAUUCCUAAUGAAUCAAGAGAAUCGAGCAAAAACAUUUUAUGCAUUCAAACAUUCAACUCAGCAUAACUCAUUCAAUUCUCAACCAUUUUUCAUGAAUUUUAUAUCAGCGUGUUCAGCAUGCAAAGAUCUACC